GGAGAAACAGUGAAUUCUAUUACCUAACUAUUUGUUUUUAUCAUUUUAUCUUGUCUUAGAUUUUGCUAGUGUUUUUCUUUUUUGUUUUUCACAGAACAAACACAAGCAAAGACAAGAAUCGUUGAUCUAGUAUCAAAAGCAAGUUAUCUCUUAUUUGCAUUUUAUUUCUCUACGUAUUUUCAUUGAGGUAUUCGCGAUCUAGAAUGAGCAGGAAAUAGGUAAGGGAACGAAAAUACGAAUCAUUGCGCGCGAAUAAGAAAAACUAUUGUUUGAAUAACGUGAUAAGAAGAAAACUAUGCUAAUUAGAAGAGUAUCGUUCAUAGAAACCAUCUUGUUGAACAAACAUAAGAAAACUGCGCAAGUUAAAAAAAUAUCGUUCAUAGAAAUCAUCUGUUGAGCAAAUAUAAUAUUUCAUGAAGUACCUAGAAACCAAGUGAUUAACAGCUUCAACAUUUAAUGUAAUAUUGUUUGACAAGUUACUUCAUCAUCCUCGACUAUUCUUAUCAAUGAUAUCAGAAUACGUAUAAACAAAUUUUUUAUUCGACAAUGUAUGACUUAUGUAUAUAUAGGUGUAUUGAGAAAAUUCUCAAAUAAAUUCAAUAGGAUCUUUAAUGGAUCAGAUCGCGUCUCGUUGAUAUGCAUCACGCUUAACGCUUGUGAAUUUAUCGAAGUCAAUUCAGAGACGAGCGUAGCCCGCGUACACAAAUAGGGCUAGGUCACGAUGGCUAAUGGAAUGAUUCGUUUAAGACAAUCGCACGCGUUUAUCCAACAACGACGGCUCAACGAAACGAUGAAGUUCAACGCGAAGGAGAGAAUAAUAAUAAAACAUAAGAAACUAAUCGAGAGAAUCUUCAUCCUCCAACGAAAUGCCGAAAAAGAAAGAGUUACCUCCCCUCUGCAAUAGUAGCAACUGCUCCAGCUGGACGAUCAGAAGAAAGAUAAAGCAGCCGUAGAAUUCGAAACUUUUUCGCGUCAUCUUCUUGCACCGGAAUCUUUUUUUCCGUAUGUUAAAAAAAUCGUAUUGUUUUCGUGCUAUCGAAACUCGCGAUCUAUAGAUCGAUUCUUUUUUCUUUCUUUCUCUUU